rnacentral:rRNA from 1 species
AUUGAACGCUGGCGGCAGGCCUAACACAUGCAAGUCGAGCGGAGAUGCGGACGGGUGAGUAAUGCCUAGGAAUCUGCCUGGUAGUGGGGGAUAACGUCCGGCAACGGGCGCUAAUACCGCAAACUACCAGAUGAGCCUAGGUCGGUUUAGCUAGUUGGUGGGGUAAAGGCAUACCAAGACGACGAUCCGUAGCUGGACUGAGGAGAUGAUCAGUCACACGUGAACUGAGACACGGCCCAGACUCCUACGGGAGGCAGCAGUGGGGAAUAUUGGACAAUGGGCGAAAGCCUGAUCCAGCCAUGACGCGUGUGUGAAGAAGGUCUUCGGAUUGUAAAGCCCUUUAGGUUGAGAGGCGUUACCAACAGAGUAAGCACCGGCUAACUUCGUGCCAGCAGCCGCGGUAAUAC